AGAGUUUGAUUCUGGCUCAGGAUGAACGCUGGCGGCGUGCCUAAUACAUGCAAGUCGAACGCUUCACUUCGGUGAAGAGUGGCGAACGGGUGAGUAAUACAUAAGUAACCUGGCAUCUACAGGGGGAUAACUGAUGGAAACGUCAGCUAAGACCGCAUAGGUGUAGAGAUCGCAUGAACUCUAUAUGAAAAGUGCUACGGGACUGGUAGAUGAUGGACUUAUGGCGCAUUAGCUGGUUGGUAGGGUAACGGCCUACCAAGGCGACGAUGCGUAGCCGACCUGAGAGGGUGACCGGCCACACUGGGACUGAGACACGGCCCAGACUCCUACGGGAGGCAGCAGUAGGGAAUUUUCGGCAAUGGGGGAAACCCUGACCGAGCAACGCCGCGUGAAGGAAGAAGUAAUUCGUUAUGUAAACUUCUGUCAUAGAGGAAGAACGGUGGAUAUAGGGAAUGAUAUCCAAGUGACGGUACUCUAUAAGAAAGCCACGGCUAACUACGUGCCAGCAGCCGCGGUAAUACGUAGGUGGCGAGCGUUAUCCGGAAUUAUUGGGCGUAAAGAGGGAGCAGGCGGCACUAAGGGUCUGUGGUGAAAGAUCGAAGCUUAACUUCGGUAAGCCAUGGAAACCGUAGAGCUAGAGUGUGUGAGAGGAUCGUGGAAUUCCAUGUGUAGCGGUGAAAUGCGUAGAUAUAUGGAGGAACACCAGUGGCGAAGGCGACGAUCUGGCGCAUAACUGACGCUCAGUCCCGAAAGCGUGGGGAGCAAAUAGGAUUAGAUACCCUAGUAGUCCACGCCGUAAAC
rnacentral:rRNA from 1 species